rnacentral:rRNA from 1 species
UGAGGAAUAUUGGUCAAUGGACGCAAGUCUGAACCAGCCAAGUAGCGUGCAGGAUGACGGCCCUAUGGGUUGUAAACUGCUUUUAUAUGGGGAUAAAGUGGGGAACGUGUUCCCUUUUGCAGGUACCAUAUGAAUAAGGAACGGCUAAUUCCGUGCCAGCAGCCGCGGUAAUACGGAAGGUUCGGGCGUUAUCCGGAUUUAUUGGGUUUAAAGGGAGCGUAGGCCGUUUGGUAAGCGUGUUGUGAAAUGUAGGAGCUCAACUUCUAGAUUGCAGCGCGAACUGUCAGACUUGAGUGCACACAACGUAGGCGGAAUUCAUGGUGUAGCGGUGAAAUGCUUAGAUAUCAUGAAGAACUCCGAUUGCGAAGGCAGCUUACGGGAGCGCAACUGACGCUGAAGCUCGAAGGUGCGGGUAUCGAACAGG